rnacentral:rRNA from 1 species
UACGAAGGGGGCUAGCGUUGCUCGGAAUUACUGGGCGUAAAGCGCACGUAGGCGGCUUUCUAAGUCGGGGGUGAAAUCCUGGAGCUCAACUCCAGAACUGCCUUCGAUACUGGAGAGCUCGAGUCCGGGAGAGGUGAGUGGAACUGCGAGUGUAGAGGUGAAAUUCGUAGAUAUUCGCAAGAGCACCAGUGGCGAAGGCGGCUCCCUGGCCCGGUACUGACGCUGAGGUGCGAAAGCGUGGGGAGCAAACAGG